rnacentral:ribozyme from 13 species
UCUUUCUCUUCCUCUUCCUCUUUCUCUUUUUCUAGUUGUAGUUUUCGUUGUUCUUCUAAUUGUGAGUUUUGUGAUUUGGAGAAAAAACUAAAACGAUCAGUCCAUCCUUUUUUCGAAGAUGCUUCUGAAGAGGAAGGAAUUGAAGUAACAUCUGAUUUUCUUCUUCGUUGAGAAGAAGAAGAAGAAGAAGAAGAA